rnacentral:rRNA from 1 species
UGGAAAGCAAAGGUACCAUUUAAAGUUAAAAUAUCCAUGUGGUAUUUUCAUAUGGGAGUUGUGCUGACCAAAGACAACCUCGCACGACACAACUGGUCAGGAAGUAAGAAGUGUUGGUUUUGUACUCAUGACGAGAUAAUUAAACACCUCCUUUUCCAGUGUAACUUUAUGCAUUCUACCUGGUCAGUCAUCCAAAUAGCGUCAAAUUUGUAUCCACACAAAAGUGUUGCCAAUAUUUUUGGUCAUUGGCUCGAUGGUAUUUCAAACAGGUACAAAACGAUAAUAAGGGUGGGAGUGUAUGCCUUACUAUGGUCGCUUUGGCUUUACAGGGUUUUUUUCUGUUGUACGCACUCGCUUCGUAUGUGGUCUACGCUACAAUGA